CGGCGGACGGGUGAGUAAUGUCUGGGAAACUGCCUGAUGGAGGGGGAUAACUACUGGAAACGGUAGCUAAUACCGCAUAACGUCGCAAGACCAAAGAGGGGGACCUUAGGGCCUCUUGCCAUCGGAUGUGCCCAGAUGGGAUUAGCUAGUAGGUGGGGUAACGGCUCACCUAGGCGACGAUCCCUAGCUGGUCUGAGAGGAUGACCAGCCACACUGGAACUGAGACACGGUCCAG
rnacentral:rRNA from 1 species